rnacentral:piRNA from 1 species
AGCGUCAUUCUUCCUGGCCAGUUGGGCG